rnacentral:rRNA from 1 species
AUGAACGCUGGCGGCGUGCCUCAUACAUGCAAGUCGAGCGAACAGACGAGGAGCUUGCUCCUCUGAUAUUAGCGGCGGACGGGUGAGUAACACGUGGAUAACCUACCUAUAAGACUGGGAUAACUUCGGGAAACCGGAGCUAAUACCGGAUAACAUGUUGAACCGCAUGGUUCAACAGUGAAAGACGGUCUUGCUGUCACUUAUAGAUGGAUCCGCGCCGCAUUAGCUAGUUGGUAAGGUAACGGCUUACCAAGGCAACGAUGCGUAGCCGACCUGAGAGGGUGAUCGGCCACACUGGAACUGAGACACGGUCCAGACUCCUACGGGAGGCAGCAGUAGGGAAUCUUCCGCAAUGGGCGAAAGCCUGACGGAGCAACGCCGCGUGAGUGAAGAAGGUCUUCGGAUCGUAAAACUCUGUUAUUAGGGAAGAACAAACGUGUAAGUAACUAUGCACGUCUUGACGGUACCUAAUCAGAAAGCCACGGCUAACUACGUG